AACACGCUACCGCUUUGCGACUCUAAACAGCUUCCUGUUUUCUUUCCUAUCCCGACGUCUCGGUCACGGUCACGUGGUAAGUGUAAUCUCGCGAUGCACGGGAUUUCAAAUGACAGGCGCACAGAGCUAUUUAUUUUAUUUUAUUUUUUAUGAUUUUUAAAGAAGUCUCUUAUGUUCACCACAGCUGCAUUUAUUUUAUGAGAAAUACAGUAAAUAGCAAUAUUGUUUAAUAUUAUUAAAAUUUAUAAUAACCUUUCUAUUUUAAUGCAUGUGAUGUAAUUUAUUCCUGCGAUGGAAGGUGAUUUUUCAUCAGCCAUUACUCCAUUCUUCAGUGUCAGAUAAUCCUUCAGAAAUAUUUCUAAUAUGCUGAAUUGGGGAUCAAGAAGCAUAAUUAAUUUUAUUUUAUAAAAUAACGAUUAAAAAAGUAAUAUAAAUGUAAUAUAUAUUAAUAUAUAAUAUAUAAAAUGUGUAUAUAACAAUAUAUAUCAUACAUUUUAAGAUAUUCACCAGAACCUUGGUGAUAUUUUUUUUUUCAGCUGGAGGUUCAGGAGGCGAAGGCCAUGAUGGAUAACCACCCUCAGUGGGAUAUCCCAGAAACUGAAGAAGAGGAGGAUGACCAGGAGGACAGUGAUGGCAUUGAGGAAUCUGAGGAAGAUGAAGAAGACAACGGCUAAACCAGUCAUCUCUCUAUGGCUCUGAGGGAUUAGGCCUGACUUCCCCACCAGCAGCGGCCAAAGUGGCCCGAACUGGGGAUGACAACUGAUGAGGAUCAAGGCUUGGGCUAUUCUGCCCUCUGAGAGGCACUGUGAACUGAGAAGAGCUGGACAGGAGAAAAGCCCUUGGACAGGAGAGACGCAAUCUCAAUGUUCAAUGAAUGGAUCCCCCUACAUAGUCACAAAGUAUUACUGAUUCAAAAGAAGUGCCUGCUUGACGAAGCUAAAGAGUCCGAUAAUGAAGCAAAUGGCAUUCAUCUGGUCAUGUGAUCUCAAAAUGGCCACCUCCAUCAGGAGACUCCUUUCGUGUAAAAUAAAUCAUUUACUGAGUUUUCAUCUCAUGUACCCAAUUUAAAACAUGAAUAAUUUGCUAAAAAUACUUUUAAAAAUGAAAAAUGUAAAACUUAUUUAAAGAGGGAAAAAUUGCUCCUUUAAGAGCCUUAGUCAAUUUCCCUGUAAUGUGUUUUAAUCAUUUAUCAUCAUAUUUUUAUUUACACUUGACUGAAACAAAAUGCUACCUUUAAUCCAAUAUAAUCAAGUGAGAAUACAUUUUUAAGGUUGGUGUGCUGACAGUUUGGCCAGUGAUAUCGCUGAAGGAAAGAUCCCCCUACAACUCCUUGUUAGUUGCCAAUUGUGAACUUUUUUUGCCCUGAAGGGCAGUUCAGUGUGAGUUGGUUCUCAUUCACUGGCUGGCUUUUGUGGGCCGCCCUUGCUUUCAUUCCUCCGUGCGUUACACCAAUUAAAGGAGG
rnacentral:lncRNA from 1 species